AUGAUUUGGGAGAUCCUGCUCCUGCUUCCACCGGAGCGGCCCUCCCUCGUGCUGCCACCGAAGCGGCGCUCCUUCCUGCGCGCAUCCGGCGUCUCCACGCUCUGGCGAGGCGUCGCCACCGACCCCAACUUUAUGAGCCAGCACCGCAGGAAGUGGAAGCCUCCCCUCCUCGGCGUUUUCGAGCGCCGCCAGCAGAAGUUCCACUUCACCCCCGUCUUGCAUCCUCCCGACGGUAUCCCUGCCGACCGCAUUCACAUCUCAAGCCAGAUGACCUCCCGCGACUGCGACGCGACCGGCUGCCGCCACGGUCGGGUGCUGGCCAUACACAGGCUGCUGCCGCGUCUUGUCGUGUUCGCCCCCCUCACCGGCCAGGAGCACUGCCUGGCCUUUCCGGACGAGUUCAGGGAGUGCAACUACCACCACGGGGCUGUGCUCUGUGCUGCCAGCGGCCCGGAGGACCACGUGCACGGCUUUUGCCACGAGAGCCCAUUCAAGGUGGCAUUCUUGUCGAGGUACCCUACACGCUAUCGAUUUAUCACAUCUGUUUACUCAUCAGAAAGUGGCACAUGGGGCGGCCUUAAGGAAAUAGAAGCUCCAUUUAAAGUUGCUCUUGUUGAUGUUCCUGCGACCCUGGUUGGAAAUGUGCUCUACUGGAUGCUUUCAUCAAAUGAUGUUUGUGCUGCCAUGCUUGAGUUUGAUUUGGAUACGCAGAGCCUAGCUGUGAUCAAGGGACCUUCUGAUAUGAAUUAUUCCGGCAGCCAUAGGAUCAUCAAAAUAGAGCAAGGCACGGUUGGCUGGGUCAGGUUUUCAUUUCCGAGCCUAGAGAUAUGGCUGAGGCAAAAGAAUUGUCAUGGUGUUGCCACGUGGUUGCAGCACAAGACAGUUGAUAUGCAUGACAUUCUUGGGAUCCCUCCCCGGGCUAGUAAUAAUCGGUGGCAUCAGAAAAUCCUCUCCUAUGACGAGGACAACAAUGUGAUCAUUCUGUAUGUUGAUGACAGUGCCUACAUGCUUGAUCUUAAGUCGAUGGAAUCCACAAAACUUGAUGAAAGCCGUUUGAUGAAUCGCUGUCACCCUUUCGCCAGUUUCUAUCCACCAGACAUGACCAUCUAA
rnacentral:rRNA from 1 species